UCCAGAAACGUGCUGCUGUUCUCUACGCCAUAGAUGAUCUUGUUCACCACGGUGCCUUGUCCAUUCAGCUCAUCUGUCAAAAGAAGGAAGCUGUAAGACUGGUCCUCAGGCAGAAAAUAACCCGCCAGUUCUGAAAGCCAUAUUAAAUGAGAAAUCGAUGCUCGGCCUACGCAGGAUGGACGGGUAGCUGCGGUCUCUCUCCAGUGCCGAACAUGAAAAAGGCUGACAUUUGCAAAGAUGACU